CAGCCAGUUUUGUAUGCUAUUAGUCAGUGAUUUUGGGUCCCGGUGCCAUCCGAACGUUUCGGGAACCCCGGGGUCCGGUUAAGGGGAAAUCAUGAAAACUCGCAGUUUUGGCCUAUUCUGGCCAGUUUUGUAUGCUAUUACUCUCUGAUUUUGGUUGCCGCUGCGAUCCAAACAUUUCGGGAACCCCGGGGUCCGGUUACGGGGAACUCGUCAAAACUCGCAGUUUUGGUCUAUUGUGGCCAGUUUUGUAUGCUAUUACCCACUGAUUUUGGGUCCCGCUGUGAACCGAACGUUUCGGGAACCCCGGGGUCCGAUUACGUGGAACUCAUUAAAACUCACAGUUUAGGCCUAUUCCCCCCAGUUUUGUAUGCUAUUACUCACUGAUUUUGGGUCCCGCUGCGAUACGAAUGUUUCAGGAACCCCGGGGUCCGGUUACGUGGAACUUGUCAAAACACGCAGUUUUGGGUUAUUCUGCCGAGUUUUGUAAGCUAUUACUCAAUGAUUUUGGUUCCCGCUGCGAUCCAAACAUUUUGGGAUCCCCGGGGUCAGGUUAAUGGGAAAUCAUGAAAACUCGCUGUUUUGGCCUAUUCUGGCCUGUUUUGUAUGGUAUUACUCACUGAUUUUGGUUGCCGCUACGAUACGAAUGUUUUGGGAACCCCGGUAUCCGGUUACGGGGAACUCGUCAAAACUCGCAGUUUUGGCUUAUUCUGCCGAGUUUUGUAAGAAUUACUCACUCAUAUUGGGUCCCGCUACAAUCCGAACGUUUUGGGUACCCCGGGGUCCAGUUACGGGGAACUCGUGAAAACUCGCAGUUUUGGCCUAUUCCGGCCAGUUUUGUAUGCUAUUAGUCACCGAUUUUGGGUCCCAAAGCCAUCCGAACGUUUUGGGAACCCCGGGGUCCGGUGAAGGGGAAAUCAUGAAAACUCGCAGUUUUGGCCUAUUCCGGCCAGUUUUGUGUGCUAUUACUCAAUGAUUUUGGUUCCUGCUGCGAUACGAAUGUUUCGGGAACCCCGGGGUCCGGUUACGGGGAACUCUUCAAAGCUCGCAGUUUUAGCUUAUUCUGCCGUGUUUUGUAAGAUAUUACUCACUGAUUUUGGGUCCGCUGCGAUCCGAACGUUUUGGGAACCCCGGGGUCCAGUUAUGGGAACUCGUCAAAACUCGCAGUUUUGCCCUAUUCCAGCCAGUUUUAUAUGCUAUUACUCAAUGAUUUUGGUUCCUGCUGCGAUACGAAUGUUUCGGGAACCCCGGGGUCCGGUUACGGGGAACUCUUCAAAACUCGCAGUUUUGGUCUAUUGUGGCUAGUUUUGUAUGCUAUUACUCACUGAUUUUGGUUGCCGCUGCGAUCCAAACAUUUCGGGAACCCCGGGGUCCGGUUACGGGGAACUCGUCAAAACUCGCAGUUUUGGUCUAUUGUGGCUAGUUUUGUAUGCUAUUACUCACUGAUUUUGGGCCCCGCUGUGAACCGAACGUUUCGGGAACCCCGGGGUCCGAUUACGUGGAACUCAUUAAAACUCACAGUUUN
rnacentral:lncRNA from 1 species